rnacentral:rRNA from 1 species
AUGCAUGGUCAAAUGAUGCAGCGCAUCAAGAUCUACUCGAAUGAAAACAUGCAGCGCAUCACAUCUACUCGAAUGGAAACACACCGCGGCAUGUACCUGGCGUCCGUGCUGGAGGUGGAAGACAUCGCCAGGGCCGCCGUGCACCUGGCGUCCGACAAGGUCAGGUAUGUCAACGGGCACAACCUCGUCGUCGACGGCGGGUUUACCGUGGGGAAGCUGAUUCACACGCCGGAUCCGGUUAGGCAUGAGUGA